rnacentral:rRNA from 1 species
UUUUAUAAUUAUUUAUAUUUGAAAUUAUUUAUAUAAAAAAAAAUUAAAAUGUAAAUAAUUAUUUUAUUGGGGUGAUAAAAAAAUAAAAAAAACUUUUUCUAAAAAUUAUCAUAAAUAAGUGAAUUAUUGAUCCAAUUUUAUUGAUUAUAAGAAAAA